AUACGAAGGGUGCAAGCGUUGUUCGGAUUUACUGGGCGUAAAGAGAUCGUAGGUGGUUUAUUAAGUCGGAUGUGAAAUCCCGGGGCUCAACCUCGGAACUGCAUUCGAUACUGGUAGACUAGAGUUUGGGAGGGGUAAGCGGAAUUCCGUGUGUAGCAGUGAAAUGCGUAGAUAUACGGAGGUACACCUGAGGCGAAGGCGGCUUACUGGACCAAUACUGACACUGAGGAUCGAAAGCGUGGGUAGCAAACAGGAUUAGAUACCCGGGUAGUCC
rnacentral:rRNA from 1 species